AUUGAACGCUGGCGGCAUGCCUUACACAUGCAAGUCGAACGGCAGCGGACCUUCGGGUGCCGGCGAGUGGCGAACGGGUGAGUAAUAUAUCGGAACGUACCUUUCAGUGGGGGAUAGCGUAGCGAAAGUUACGCUAAUACCGCAUAUUCUGUGAGCAGGAAAGCAGGGGAUCGCAAGACUUUGCGCUGAUUGAGCGGCCGAUAUCAGAUUAGCUAGUUGGUGAGGUAAAGGCUCACCAAGGCGACGAUCUGUAGCGGGUCUGAGAGGAUGAUCCGCCACACUGGAACUGAGACACGGUCCAGACUCCUACGGGAGGCAGCAGUGGGGAAUUUUGGACAAUGGGCGCAAGCCUGAUCCAGCCAUGCCGCGUGCGGGACGAAGGCCUUCGGUUGUAAACCGCUUCUAGCCGGAAGAAAUCGCCGUUUUAAUACAGACGGUGGAGUGACGGUACCGGAACGAAGAAGAC
rnacentral:rRNA from 1 species